GCCACACCCAGGAACAAAUCAGAAACUUCACCAGGCCAAAAGGAAGCCCAGCCCUAACCCAGAGGCAGAACUUCAGCAGGACUUUUUCUAGCAGCAGAGGAGAGCCAGUCCCUGAAGGGGAUAAGGAGAGGAUGUCAAUGUGGGAAGUCUUGAUGGAUGUCCAAGUUUCCCAGGUUCUAAAUUUAUUGUAAUUUAAUCAUGUUCAUCUCUGAGGACAGUACUAGGCGAUUGCUCUGCAGGGAAUUGAAGGCCCUUCGAUCAUCACUACCUGUCAAGCCUAGGAGCCUUGAAGGGAGGCAUUACCCCGUGAGGUCUGGAGCCUCUGCGUGACAUGAGGUCUGGGGUACCAGUCCAACCUACACCAGGAAAUUAAGAAAAGGUCUCAGAUGUGGGAUUGUGAUCCAGACUCCAGGGAUUAAGAUUUCUUUUCUUCCAGGGAACAAUGGUGAUUGGAGGAAAGAAAAUCCAGAAGCGUACAAGUUGCUCUUCAUACUUCCCGGCAGCUUUCUAGAACAUAUUGUGAAUUACUCUUAGGUAAUGACAUGAAGGACACAGAGUUUGCACCCUUGAGCCAAAUGGUGAUGUACUGCAUGCACCUCAAGUCCAAUUCAUCACCUCUUGGACUGGAGAAGCUACAUGGGGUUGAAUAAUUAAUGUCCCCUGAAGGCCUGGAGACCUCUGGCUGAUUCCAACUGUGAUGCUCAGUCCUGGAGUCUCUCACGACAGCACAUCCACACAGCCAUAUUCCCAGGAGGAAAAGUUACAGAUGGAGUUUGUCAAGUCUAGAGACAUCUGAGACACUCUAUAGAUUCUCUUGUAGGGUCCCUACAGGGACCAUGCCUUAAAAGAUCCUGGGAAGCUUAUUUAUAAUCAUUUCAAAAUGCCUGAGAGAUUGAUAACUCAGGCCUAUUUUCCUUAGGAAAACCCUCUAAAAUAUCUAAACUAAACCCCUACAACUAUCACCACAAUCUACUUUCUCAUAUCCUUCAAACACUUCCUUGGCCCCUGA
rnacentral:lncRNA from 1 species